GGAUGUGAGGGCGAUCUGGUUGCGACAUCUUUCACCCCAUUGAUCGCCAGGGUUGAUUCGGCAGAUCUGGCUGGCUAGGUGGUUGUCCCCUUCCUCCCUCACCGCUCCAUGUGCGUCCCACCCGAAGCUGCGCUAUCGGUCAAAGAGGACGACCUUCCCCGCUAGAGGAGGACCGGUCUUCGAUCAAGGGUAUGCGAGUAGCUGCGCUCCCCUGCUAGAACCUCCAAACAAGCGCUCAAAUAAGCAAACUAAAUAAAUACAUGAGUUUUGUUUUACAAGAUUAUAUAGUUAAGUGCAGUGAAGUGUUAUGCUGUAU
rnacentral:snRNA from 1 species